rnacentral:lncRNA from 1 species
GGUGCCAUGAGCCCUUUGCACUCUGGUGAACUGCGCACGCUGAGGAAGACAUCAUUGCUACUAUCACGCUGCCCAGAGGAACCCUGAAAAUACAAAGAUACGAACUUAAAUCCAAACUGGAACCGGUCUCUUCCUCGUUAAACUCCACUUGAACGCGAUGCGAAGUACGAGAGACUCUCGAAGAGUGUGAGGAUGUAUGUCCAACAAAGAUACGAUAGCGUCGUCGUGCUGGUGGCCAGAGUUCAACGUCAUUACUUCUAUCGCUGCUAUCAAUCUCCUCUUCUUCGGGAUUCGUUCCCGUAAUCCCGAUAUUAAUCCUUCGCGAUCCGGAGCAAUGUCUAAAAUGUUUGAAGAAGGAAUUUAACAAAAAAAAAAAGAUCAUUUUCAACCAAAUGCUUCAAAGGAAAUGAGACCAAUUUCAUGACAUCAAUAUCGAUCCUUGAUCGAUGCUACCGGAUCGCGAAGGGUUCUAAGUGGUUCAUCAU